rnacentral:rRNA from 1 species
GACGAACGCUGGCGGCGUGCCUAAUACAUGCAAGUCGAACGCAGUGGGGACGGGUGAGUAACACGUGGGUAACCUCCCCUCAGAGGGGAUAACACUUGGAAACAGGUGCUAACCCGCUACUGAUGGAUCUACCCGCGGUGCAUUAGCUUGUUGGUGAGGUAACGGCUCACCAAGUCCACGAUGCAUAGCCGACAUGAGAGGGUGAUCGGCCACACUGGGACUGAGACACGGCCCAGACUCCUACGGGAGGCAGCAGUAGGGAAUCUUCGGCAAUGGACGAAAGUCUGACCGAGCAACGCCGCGUGAGUGAAGAAGGUUUUCGGAUCGUAAAACUCUGUUGUUAGAGAAGCGGUAUCUAACCAGAAAGCCACGGCUAACUACGUGCCAGCAGCCGCGGUAAUUC